rnacentral:rRNA from 1 species
UACGAAGGGUGCAAGCGUUACUCGGAAUUACUGGGCGUAAAGCGUGCGUAGGUGGUUUGUUAAGUCUGAUGUGAAAGCCCUGGGCUCAACCUGGGAAUGGCAUUGGAUACUGGCGAGCUAGAGUGCGGUAGAGGAUGGCGGAAUUCCCGGUGUAGCAGUGAAAUGCGCAGAUAUCGGGAAGAACACCCGUGGCGAAGGCGGCUCUCUGGGACGGUACUGACGCUGAGACGCGAAAGCGUGGGGAGCGAACAGG